ensembl:rRNA predicted gene, 23380
AUCUAUGGUCACACUGCCCUAAACAAGCCUGAUCUUAUCUGAUCUCAGAAGCUAAGCAGGCUUGGGUCUUGGUAGUAGAAGCUAAGCAGAGUCAGGAUGGGUU